rnacentral:tRNA from 1 species
GAAGUAGCUCAGCUUGGUAGAGCACUUGGUUUGGGACCAAGGGGUCGCAGGUUCGAAUCCUGUCUU